CCUACGGGAGGCAGCAGUGAGGAAUAUUGGUCAAUGGACGAGAGUCUGAACCAGCCAAGUAGCGUGAAGGAUGACUGCCCUAUGGGUUGUAAACUUCUUUUAUAUGGGAAUAAAAUGUUCCACGUGUGGGACUUUGUAUGUACCAUAUGAAUAAGGAUCGGCUAACUCCGUGCCAGCAGCCGCGGUAAUACGGAGGAUCCGAGCGUUAUCCGGAUUUAUUGGGUUUAAAGGGAGCGUAGGUGGAUUGUUAAGUCAGUUGUGAAAGUUUGCGGCUCAACCGUAAAAUUGCAGUUGAAACUGGCAGUCUUGAGUACAGGAGAGGUGGGCGGAAUUCGUGGUGUAGCGGUGAAAUGCUUAGAUAUCACGAAGAACUCCGAUUGCGAAGGCAGCUCACUGGACUGCAACUGACACUGAGGCUCGAAAGUGUGGGUAUCAAACAGGAUUAGAUACCCCAGUAGUC
rnacentral:rRNA from 1 species